UACGGGGGGGUAAGCGUUGUUCGGAAUUACUGGGCGUAAAGGGCGCGUAGGCGGCAUGACAAGUCACUUGUGAAAUCUCUGGGCUUAACCCAGAACGGCCAAGUGAUACUGUCGCGCUAGAGUGCGGAAGGGGCAAUCGGAAUUCUCGGUGUAGCGGUGAAAUGCGUAGAUAUCGAGAGGAACACCUGAGGUGAAGACGGGUUGCUGGGCCGACACUGACGCUGAGUGCGCGAAAGCCAGGGGAGCAAACGGG
rnacentral:rRNA from 1 species